GGAAUAUUGGACAAUGGGCGAAAGCCUGAUCCAGCAAUGCCGCGUGAGGGAUGAAGGCCUUAGGGUUGUAAAGCUCUUUUACCCGGGAUGAUAAUGACAGUACCGGGAGGAUAAGCCCCGGCUAAGUCCGUGCCAGCAGCCGCGGUAAUACGAAGGGGGCUAGCGUUGCUCGGAAUCACUGGGCGUAAAGCGCACGUAGGCGGCUUAUUCAGUCGGUGGUGAAAUCCUGGAGCUCAACUCCAGAACUGCCUUCGAUACUGAGAGGCGCGAGUCCGGGAGAGGUGAGUGGAACUGCGAGUGUAGAGGUGAAAUUCGUAGAUAUUCGCAAGAACACCAGUGGCGAAGGCGGCUCACUGGCCCGGUACUGACGCUGAGGUGCGAAAGCGUGGGGAGCAAAC
rnacentral:rRNA from 1 species